rnacentral:rRNA from 1 species
UACAGAGGAUGCAAGCGUUAUCCGGAAUGAUUGGGCGUAAAGCGUCUGUAGGUGGCUUUUUAAGUCCGCCGUCAAAUCCCAGGGCUCAACUCUGGACAGGCGGUGGAAACUACCAAGCUGGAGUACGGUAGGGGCAGAGGGAAUUUCCGGUGGAGCGGUGAAAUGCGUAGAGAUCCGGAGGAACACCGACGGCGUAGGCAGCGCCCUAGACGAGACCUGACGCUCAGGCACGAAAGCGCGGGGAGCGAACAGG